rnacentral:lncRNA from 1 species
AUGAUGGCCAUGGACUUUGUUGACUGGGACAACGAGACCAUCAAAAUUGCAGAGAAAGCAACCAAGGAGGCAGAUCAAGUAGUCAUGAUUAAAACAAUUAAUGAACAGCAGAAAAAUGAGACAGGUCUAAUCAGAGACAUAAUUAUUCCAGAGCGGGCUGCCUGUCACAAUAUUUCUGAAAACCUCUCAUUGUCAGGUCUGAGGGCUGCCACAAAUCUUCGUUUGGCUGCAGUGUGUAGGUCUGAGUCAUCAACCACCAAAGAAAUGUCUUCACUUCCUCUUCUUUCUCUCACACAGCUGGUAUUUGCUUGGCUUAUCUAGUCCUCUGAGCCUGGGAUGUAAAGGGCAGAAUACUAGCACAGAUCAACAGCCAGCUGAAGAAGUCCCUACUGUUACCAUCUGGUAGCAGGGUAUUUCAGAUCUGAUGGCCCUGGAACCAUCAGGCCAUACAAAGAUAUUUAUGUAAUAGAAAAUUCUCUUCCUUUGGCAGAAAUAGGUUCAACAGGCAUUGGCAUUUAUUUUGGUUUCAAAAAAAAUACUUUCUAGUGUAGUUUGUUCUGAAAUCAGAAAAGCAAUGUACUAUAAUGCUGUAAAGAAAGGCCUCUCUUAAUAGCUGCUGAAGUGAAAAAAAAAAAUCCAGAGCUUCCAUAGAUAGGCUACUACCCUAUAUUUACUCACUAGCGUUUCAGUAAUCUAGUCUCAAGCUAUAUAUAUACUCCCUGUACUUAGGUCGGUAUAGAAAACUAGGCUCCUUACUUAUUCAAACACGUUAAUUGCUAAUCCAAAGAAUGCAUUUGAUUCUAGAAAUUGUCCUGCCACAUCCAGCAACAAAGUAUGCAUUUCCAAAGAGUGAAGAAGUGCCGUGUAGUCAUUGGCAUAAAACUUACCUGCUGAUUGCCAUGUAAUAAUGAGGCAAUGUCUGGGUGUUUAUUAAAUCGUAGAUCUGAGAUAUGCUCCAAACGUGAAGAUCGAGAACCCUUUGAGAAUCCCUAAAUAUACAGUUAGUCUAUCAGGCUAGGUUUUUUUGUUUUCCUUUCUAAUGAUACAUGUAUUUUUUUUUUUGCAAUGUGACAUCUGAGGACCUGUG